UUGUAUAGUUUACCAUCCAAACCCAGUGUCCAGAUUAAGAUAGGAAAUAACCAGCAGGUCCAAGUUAGGCUGCCAGCAGGUCAACAGCAAGUUGAAAAAUCUGAAGGUGUGUGGUCUGCCCACAUCUACCUCCGUGUGUGGUCUGCCCAGGUCUACCUCCGUGUGUGGUCUGCCCACAUCUACCUCAGUGUGUGGUCUGCACAGGUCUACCUCAGUGUGUGGUCUGCCCAGGUCUACCUCAGUGUGUGGUCUGCCCACAUCUACUCAGUGUGUGGUUGCACAGGUCUACCUCAGUGUGUGUCUGCCCAGGUCUACCUCAGGUGUGAUCUGCCCACAUCACCUCAGGUGUGGUCUGCCCACAUCUACCUCAGUGUGUGGUCUGCCCAGAUCUACCUCAGUGUGUGGUCUGCCCAGAUCUACUCAGUGUGUGGUCUGCCCAGAUCUACCCCCAGUGUGUGGUCUGACUACUAGAGGUUGACACGGGAGGGAAAAUUCAGUCCUUCUCUAUAACCCGGAACUUUCCUGUCCCUUCCUGAGAAAAAUCACUCCCAUCCGUCCUCAUUUUUGCACACACAAUAUGUAGGCUAUUGUCUUUGUAUUGAAAAUAAUUUCAGUAAUGCAAAAUACGACUGUGGUAUCUGGUUGUCUUACCUAUUUUAGUUCAAAUGUACUGAAUGUGGGCCGUGUAUCUCUGGAUGAGAGUGUAUUCUAAAUAACCUGGAUGUAGAUCAUUAAGGAGAGGACAGAGACCACAGCAGGAUGGUCUGCUCAGCACAGCACUGGCAUUAAAAUGUAGCUGAGCACUGAGCACAUUAAACUGUAGCCUACAGCUGAGCACAUUAAACUGUAGCUGAGCACUGGCAUUAAACUGUAGCUGAGCACUGAGGCACAUUAAACUGUAGCCUACAGCUGAAGCACUCAGCACAUUAUACUGUAGCCUACAGCUGAAGCACUGAGCACAUUAUACUGUAGCCUACAGCUGUGAGCACUGAGCACAUUAAACUGUAGCCUACAGCUGAAGCACUGAGCCCAUUAACUGUAGCCUACUGAAGCAUGAGCACAUUAAACUGUAGCCACGAC
rnacentral:lncRNA from 1 species